UACGAAGGGGGCGAGCGUUGUUCGGAUUUACUGGGCGUAAAGGGCGCGCAGGCGGCUCGUUUUGUCAGGCGUGAAAGCCCCGGGCUUAACCUGGGAACUGCGUUUGAUACGGACGGGCUAGAGUUCGGGAGAGGAGAGUGGAAUUCCCAGUGUAGAGGUGAAAUUCGUAGAUAUUGGGAAGAACACCGGUGGCGAAGGCGGCUCUCUGGACCGAGACUGACGCUGAGGCGCGAAAGCGUGGGGAGCAAACAGGAUUAGAAACCCCUGUAGUCC
rnacentral:rRNA from 1 species